UGGCUGACUUCCUGAGUUUGAAUAUGCUUUAACUAAAUUUGUCAUUAAAAGUGUAACCUUAGAAUUUUCGGUAAUAGAUUUAGUGAAGUAAGAGUCUUUUUUCUUGGCAUGUUGAUUUUGGUUUCCAAUGCUCUUUAUUCAAAACUACUGAAUUUAAUCAUUGCUGUUUUUUUUUCUUUUUGGCCUUGAGAUAAAGAAAGUGCGUUACUUCACUGUCUUUUUGAGAAACCCACCAGAAAGAAGUUUUUUUUUUUUUUUUUUUUUUGGUUUGUUUUAAAUAUUAGCAGGGCCUAGGAGCAUUUCAUACAGGGGCCGCUAGGUGGCAGUGUAGCGGGAGGGCGCAAAGCAGCAUGUGAGAAACCUCUCUGGACAGACCCCAUAGUGGAUGAGGAAGCAGCAAGUGGGGCGGCGCUCUAUGGUGGCCGAGGGACAGCGGCUGCUCUUUUAUCCUAAAUCCAGAAGCGCCCGGGAAGCUGGAUGUAGCUAAGAAAAUGUAAGAGAUGGCCGGCAAUGGAGACUGUGGUCCCUGGUCCCAGAGGGUUCCAGACUCCUCAUCUGAAUGGAUCUCAGCUGAACUGCUGCUCAAAAGCUAAAAGGUAUAUAAGUCCUCAUGCCUUAUAUACCUUUCUGCUUCCUGCCAUCACUUCAUGGGACUAAAGGCCAGUGUCAUCAUGCUUGGAUGUUUCCAGUGUGGCUUUGAACUCACAGAGAGCUGGAUGGAUAUCCCUCCGGAAUGUUAGGAUUAAAGGUGUGUGUACCACCAUUUUCUAGCA